ACACUCGACUGCAUGUCUCCGCGCGUGUGCUACUCUGGCGCCUUUUUUUCUUUUCCUUCUCAGCGGCACGACGAAGAACGUGGGACAAGUGGCUGCUCCCCGACGCGGGUCCGCCUGGCUUCCGUGGCGCGGACACCACAACACAGAGGGCGGGCACAAGCCCAGCGAACAGAAGAACGGAACAAAGCACCGAUCGUCCUCACGUGCCGUUGCUCCUCCUCAAGACCACGCACGUCAACCGACUGUGAAGAGGGGUGCUCGAAGAUUCUUUUUUUUCCCCCUUCCCCCUUAUUCCGAUCUCUGAGUCGUUGUUGUGUGCCUGGGUAUUUUACUCUGGGCGUCUGUGUGUGAGGUGGCAUUUGGAGGGUCUCCAUCUUCCGGCGGCGGCGACGCGGUUCACGACUUCCGUCUUCUGCGUGGCGUUUCCGUGCUAGCGUUGUUUGGCGGGGCAUCGACGGCAUUUAGUCGGCAUGUGACUCCAGAGGCGCGCACGAAUCGAGAACCUUCUCCUCCUUCUGCUGGAAUCGAUAAGUGCCGUUGUGGCUUGUCUUCGUUCUCUUCGCCCCCCCCCCCCCCGCGUCUCUCUGUGCAGGUAGGCGUAUCAGUGCCGUCGUUGUGCCGCCCGAUCACCCCGCGUGGGCGGAGCGACCAACAUCUAUAGAGAGAGCGAGAGACACGAAAGAAGUCAAUAACGCCUCGUACUCGCCGUCUUAGAGGUCUUUCCUACUACGUUUCCGGUACGGCAACACGGCGUGCUAAACAUGGACUCGUCAGCAGACGCUCUUCCCGCAGCGGCGCACUCAUCCAGCAAUGGUGCCGCCUCUAUUGAGCACGUGUUCGCCGGGCUUGCGUGGGUGCGCGAUUUGACCGACGCCAGCCUUGCGGCGGAGCGUGUGCACAACGCAUUCUUGCAAGUGGUCUUUAGCUUUCUGCCAGAAUACGAUCAGGACGACGACGACGACGGCAGCGCCGCACGUCGCUUCGUGACUGCAGCGGAGCGGCAAAAGGAGGAGGAGCGCGACCGCCGCCUCCGCGAGGAGGCGCGUCGCGAGUUGGAGAAUCUGCGCAAUGAGCCACUGAGCGACGCCGGCGACUCGGGGCAGCGUAGUGGUGACGAAGAGGAUCAGAGAUCGGAGGAGGCGAAUCUUGCCGACUUUGAGACAAACGAGUUCAUGCACUGGAUUGAGGCCGGCGCCUCUGACCAUUUUGCUGCACCGCGGCACCAAAUCGAUGAGGAGGGCUUACGCAGCGACCUCGAGUUCAAGUUGGAGCAGACGGGGCUUGGCAAGACUACGGAGUCAGCAGUGCGUGCGACAUGCCCGGAGCGGCUCAAGGAGGCGCUCGUGGAGCCUCGAGUGCUUCCAGAUGGUAGCGUGUGCGAGUUUUCCCUCCAGCGCGAGGUUUACUGGGUGCUGCGUCAGCUGCGCAAUGCGGGUCAGCCAUUUGCACACAAUACGCGCAUCUGCGCCCUCGCCAGUCGUCCGCUCGCCGAGAUUGUCGACGAGCCGGUGGUGGUUGCGCUGGGCUACGCACUGCAGAAGAUGACGGUAGAGCACUAUGAGCCUGGCCACCUCAUGGUAUACCACCAGACGCCCCUGCAUCCACUUCUGUGCGCGUUGCUGGAGGGGUCAGUGCUGACCGAAGACGCCAGGCACACCAUCGCGCCGGCGUCCUACGCGUACAACGCCACCACCGGCCAGCGCCAGGAGCCGGCCAUCGGUGAAACCUACGUCGGAUUCGACGCUUUAGCGCGUCAUUCCAUUGGCGAAGGCGACCCGCUGUGGUACGGCGACCGCCGUGAGCGUCAUUACGCCCAGCGCAAGCCGUGCUUCAUCGAGCUUGGCCGCCUCCUCGUCCGUCUCGUGGAGUUGAACCGUCUGUUUCUCGGCCUCGAGUACCGUCGUCAGCGCAUGAUUUCCUCCCUCAAGGACCACCCGGACGCCCGUGUGCAGGAUCAACGUACGAUCCUGAAUUCCCUCGUAUUCGAGAGCGCAGUGGAGGCGGACAUUUGGCUGACCUUUGUAGACAGCCUGCAGGGCUUGCACGGCACCGACCCCUACCUGCGCAUUCGAGAGCUCGGCCUGGAGGACGCCUUUGAGGAGUUCAGCAUCACCGGCCUGCAGUAUCAGGAGAACCUGCGCUCCAACACGGCAGUGACGCUGUGCCUGAGCAAUGCGCACAUGAACUUGCGCGACUGGGCCGCGAAUGUCGGCCGCACGCUAGCGCGGCCACUAGACGGUGAGCAGAUUCUGUCUUUGUUCACGAAGGCGCUGGUAUCGCAGUUCUCCAAGGCGCCGGUGCUGGCCAGUAUGGUGUUUGAUGUCUUCUGCGCCGAGGGCGACCUCAUCGUCAGCUACAAGCGUUCGGAGCGUUCGGACCAGAUCUUUUCGCUGGCCAGCAUGUUCACGGAGCACGCGCAGUACUUCCUGGAGCUUCUCGAGAUGGAGCGCAAUGACCUCGUGAAGCUAUACUUUGUGCUGGAUCAGAAACUUGUGUACGACAUCCUCAACCUCGAAGGCCUCUACCAGCGCCGCGAGGACACAGAUUGGUGGCGCGCGCGCGACGAGGCGAUGAGCUUCGUUGUCAUUCGCCUGUUGGAGGUGCUUCCAACGCAGGUGCGCGCUCAGCUUACCGCAAACGCCGAGUACGUUGUGAGCGUGUCGUCAGCGCAGCGCCUCAGUACCUUCUGUUCACAGGGCCCGUACGCCGCGACCCGGCUUCAGCUCAGCGACUUCGACGGUGCAGCGCGGCUUUGGGAGCCGCAGUGGAACGUCGUGGAGGCGCUCCCCGCAACCAAAGAGGCGCACGACGUCAGCCGCGUCUGUGCAGUGUAUCGCGGCAACAGCGGUGUCACGGCCUUCACCUUCAUCGACGAGCAUGGCUCCGUUUUGGGCACGACGCGUUGGGUGGACUGCGCUGUGUCGACUGUGAGCGGGCGCGAGAGGGCGGUGCUGCAGGCGGCACAGCUGCGGAAGCUGUUCACGCAGUGCCGGCCUACGGUGGUGGCCAUCGGCGCCUCCUCCACUGCGUCUCUGCCUCUCUUGCGCACUCUCGAGAACUUUGUGCGAGAGCAGGUUCAUCAAAGUACUUUUGUCGACGUGCCCGUUGUGUGGGCGAGUGUGGAGGUGCCACGGUACUACAGCGUCACGACGUAUGCGCGGAUAGAGCUGCCACAGACAGAGAACAUUGUGGUGACGAGCGUGGCUCUCGCCCGCUACGUCCAGGACCCGCUGCAGGUGCUGUGCUCCUUGUUCGAGGGCGAGCAGACAGCACUGCAGCUGUGCCGCACGAUACGCAUCUCAGCCUCGCACGACCGCCAGCUCUACCAGCGUCUGGCGUGGGAGAUGAGCCUGUGGGUGGCGGCGGUGGGCCUGUGGGUCAGCGAUAUCGUGUUCCGCCCCAACGCUGCUGCGACGCUGCAGUUUGUUCCAGGCCUCGGUCCUGCCAAAGCGCGUGCGUUGGCCAAUGCCAUCCUUCACUCCGACGUUCCGCAAAGUCGACGGCAAGUGGAGCAGCUUCUGCAACCCUACGGGGCCGCCAUUGUACAGAACGCCGCGCCGGUGCUGCGCGUUCGCUCACCGGAGCAAUGCGACGCGGAGCUCCCGUGGCACCCUCUCGAUGCAACACUGAUCCCGUCGCAGUGGUACACGAUCGCUUGCAUGGUGGCAAAGGCAACCGCCUCCUCAUCGACGCUGCCGGCAGAAGUGUUGCUAGUGGGGUUGCUUGGAAUGACGCAGGAGGAGCGCCGGGCUGCGCUCUACCGCGUCGACGUACCUUCUGCGGUUGCCAAGGUCAAGGCGAGUGCCGCGGCCCUGGCCGACGUGGGUCGUCGUGAGGUGGAGCUUGUCGUGGAUGAGCUUAUUGCGAAUGGACGCUCCUUUGCGCGCCGCCCGUACCGCCGCCUCACGAACGUCGAGUUCAUGAGUUGCAUUACUGGCAUCACGUACCUCUCCAGUGCUGACAUCAACGCGCUGUCUAAAGGGGCUGGGGCGGGAAGCGGCAGCGGAAGCCGCGGCACCUUCGUGGUGCGUGAGGGCGACUACGUCACGGGUAACAUAACCAACGUUCAGGGCGGCUCCACGCCUGGCAUCCGCCUUGCCACCUCGCGCGGCGUGACCGCUUUUAUCGCGGCAGUGGAUAUCCGCGACGAGGCGAUGCGUGUAGACCUUCUCGAGUAUAUUCGUCGGUCAGAGCAGCUGCAGGACUGGAAGCGCCACGAGAACGGUGACGCGCGGCCACUGGAGCGGGUGGAAGCGCCUGUGUGGCUUCGCCGCGGCGCUCUCCUGCAAGGCACCGUACGUCGCUGCGUCUGGGCACGCUGUGAGCUGCACCUCCAGUGGUGCCAGCCACGCGAAGAGCUGGCGGUGUCAGGCGACGACAACGGCGAAGGGGAGACGGCCAUGCCGUCGUACGGCAACAUGGAGCGCGGCGGCGCCAGCAGCAGCGUGAACUCGCUGAACACGGCGCAGGUGGAACAGCAGGUGCGUGUGUUCGCGACUAAGAUGUCGCGCCACCCGCUCUUCCGCGACGUUUCCAAGAACGGUGCGGCCGACAUGCUACGCGACAAAGAGAUUGGCGAGUCGCUUCUGCGCCCGCGCACCUCAAGCGUGCAUCGGGUGGUGUGUGAGGUGAAGGUCGGCAGCAACGCUACGAACCAUUGGGUCAUCUCUGAGGAGCGCCGCGCGAGCGGCCAGUUCUACUACAAGGUCGAGGAUCGCGUCGUGGACCGGCAGUGGGAGUUCACCGACGUGGAUGACUUCCUGUGCAACUUUGUGGAGCCGAUGGUGAAGCUCAUCCAAUCGAUUCGCGCGCACCGCCGCUUUGAGGACAGCACCGAAUACGUACAGGCCGCCCUCGACGCUCAACGCGAAGUGAGCGGCGGCUUUGCCUACGCCUUCGCCGAGACGGAAAGCAAGCGGCACCUCUACCAGGUAUACUCGAGCGGUGGCAGCGAGACGUACCACUUUCCCCUGCACAUCACGAGCGAGUUCAUCUACAUUCGCCUACCCUUCUUCCACGAUGGGAAGGCGAGCAACAAGUGGGUGCCGUGCAAGAGUGCGGAGAAGGUAAGCGAGACCGUAAAAAACUACGCUCGUGCGAUGAGCAAGCGGUCAAACAAUGGUGAGCCACAUUAGCGGCAGACAAAGAAUACCGCCAGGUCUACGUGCGUGUGCUGUGCACGCAGCGGUUGGAGGGCAGCGUAGGCAGAAGGCGUGGGGAAAUAAGGUAAAGGAAUGAGGCACAUUUGGUGGGUCACGGUUGUGCCUAUCCCCUGCAUCAAGAGCCCCUGUUAUGGCAUCGCGGGGAGUCGGUGAAGUCUCUGGUUAGUUCAGCGUUCGAGGGUGAUGAUCGCGGUGGUUCUGUGCUCCACUGCGGGCGCUUGUGUGUCGGGUGUUUGUCUCGGUUUUCUGUGUUGCACAGGUCCGUGUGUCGUGCGUGCGCGUCCGUGUCUGCGUUUGGAUGAGGGUUUUGCAGGUGUCUCUCUAUUCCCUCCUCGACGCUGACCUCGUGUUCCUCCGUCUUCUCUUGUGUGCUCUGUCCGUUGCUGUGCGUAAGGU
rnacentral:misc_RNA from 1 species